rnacentral:rRNA from 1 species
AGUGAACGUUGGCGGUAGGCCUAACACAUGCAAGUCGAACGGCAGCACAGUAAGAGCUUGCUCUUACGGGUGGCGAGUGGCGGACGGGUGAGGAAUACAGCGGAAUCUACUUUUUCGUGGGGGAUAACGUAGGGAAACUUACGCUAAUACCGCAUACGACCUACGGGUGAAAGCAGGGGAUCUUCGGACCUUGCGCGAUUGAAUGAGCCGAUGUCGGAUUAGCUAGUUGGCGGGGUAAAGGCCCACCAAGGCGACGAUCCGUAGCUGGUCUGAGAGGAUGUACAGCCACACUGGAACUGAGACACGGUCCAGACUCCUACGGAAGGCAGCGGUGGAGAAUAUUGGCCAAUGGGCGCAAGCCUGAUCCAGCCAUACCGCGUGGGUGAAGAAGGCCUUCGGGUUGUAAAGCCCUUUUGUUGGGAAAGAAAAGCAGCAGGUUAAUACCCCGCUGUUCUGACGGUACCCAAAGAAUAAGCACCGGCUAACUUCGUG